rnacentral:rRNA from 1 species
UACAGAGGUCUCAAGCGUUGUUCGGAUUCAUUGGGCGUAAAGGGUGCGUAGGUGGCGGGGUAAGUCAGGUGUGAAAUCUCGGGGCUCAACCCCGAAACUGCACUUGAUACUGCCUCGCUCGAGUAGCUGGAGAGGAGAUUGGAAUUUACGGUGUAGCAGUGAAAUGCGCAGAUAUCGGGAAGAACACCCGUGGCGAAGGCGGCUCUCUGGAACGCAACUGACGCUGAGACGCGAAAGCGUGGGGAGCAAACAGG